rnacentral:rRNA from 1 species
UACGAACUGUGCAAACGUUAUUCGGAAUCACUGGGCUUGAAGAGUGCGUAGGCGGUUUCGUAAGUAGGGUGUGAAAGCCCCCAGCUCAACUGGGGAACUGCGUCCUAAACUGCGAGGCUGGAGUGAGGUAGGGGUGUGUGGAACUUCCGGUGGAGCGGUGAAAUGUGUUGAUAUCGGAAGGAACGCCGGUGGCGAAAGCGACACACUGGGCCUUGUCUGACGCUGAGGCACGAAAGCCAGGGGAGCAAACGGG